UGAAAUCAAUUAUUACUUAAUAUACACAUGCAAGCUUCCACACCCCUGUGAAAACGCCCUUAAAUCCCCAUUAGGGAUAAGGAGCCGGUAUCAGGCACAACACCUGCCCAAGACACCUAGCUAUGCCACACCCACAAGGGAAAUCAGCAGUGAUUAACAUUGAACAUAAGCGACAGCUUGAUUCAGUUAAAGUAAACAGAGCCGGCAAAUCUGGUGCCAGCCGCCGCGGUUACACCACGUGACUCAAAUUGACAUCUAUCGGCGUAAAGCGUGAUUAAAGUUAAUCCACUAUUAGAGUUAAACUGAAACUAANGGGGGACACGCUUGUGCUUANGUAACUCNNNANCGAAAGUACUCCAGU
rnacentral:rRNA from 1 species